rnacentral:rRNA from 1 species
GACGAGCCUCACAAACGUUAUUCGGAAUUACUGGGCUUAAAGGGUGCGUAGGCGGCGCGGAAAGUUGGGUGUGAAAUCCCUCGGCUCAACCGAGGAACAGCGCCCAAAACUACCGUGCUCGAGGGAGAUAGAGGAGUGCGGAACUUAGGGUGGAGCGGUGAAAUGCGUUGAUAUCCUAGGGAACACCGGUGGCGAAAGCGGCACUCUGGAUCUCUUCUGACGCUGAUGCACGAAAGCUAGGGUAGCGAACGGG